rnacentral:rRNA from 1 species
UCCAGACUCCUACGGGAGGCAGCAGUGAGGAAUAUUGGUCAAUGGGCGGGAGCCUGAACCAGCCAAGUCGCGUGGGGGAAGACGGUCCUACGGAUUGUAAACCUCUUUUGCCGGGGAGCAACGGGGUCCUUGCGAGGGCCCGAUGAGAGUACCCGGAGAAAAAGCAUCGGCUAACUCCGUGCCAGCAGCCGCGGUAAUACGGAGGAUGCGAGCGUUAUCCGGAUUUAUUGGGUUUAAAGGGUGCGUAGGCGGGCUGUUAAGUCAGCGGUCAAAUGUCGGGGCUCAACCCCGGCCUGCCGUUGAAACUGGCGGCCUCGAGUGGGCGAGAAGUAUGCGGAAUGCGUGGUGUAGCGGUGAAAUGCAUAGAUAUCACGCAGAACUCCGAUUGCGAAGGCAUCUGACGAAUCGGAGAUUGACGCUGAUGCACGAAAGCGUGGGUAUCGAACAGGAUUAGAUACCCUGGUAU